rnacentral:lncRNA from 1 species
UUUUUUUUUUUUUUUAUAGCCACACCCAUGGCAUAUGGAAGUUUCCAGGCUAGAAGUUGAAUAGAAGGUACAGCUGCCAGCCUACACCGUAGCACAGCAAUGCCAAUUCCAACUUGAAUCUGCAACCCGCAUCGCAGCUUGCGGCAAUGCCGGAUCCCUAACUCACUGAGGGAGGCCAGGGAUUGAACUCGCAUCCUCACCAACACUAUGUUGGGUUCUUAACCUCGUCUCUGAGCCACAAUGCGAACUCCCCCACUAUUCUAGAUUCUGAAGUUAAAGCAGAAAAGGGCAUUUAAAUCCAGUGGGCCAGUCCACUAUUUCCUCCACAUGACACAGGCUUUCCCCUUCUCUCCAGACCCUUUGGAGCCCUAUUUGUGUUCAGCUUUCAGUUUGUAAGCUCUCUGAAGGCCAAGAAUGGUUUCUCCUACCACAUACCAAGGUGUUUUAAAAAGAUUGGAAGAUGUCACCUACUUUUAUUUUCACAGUAAUAACAUUUACUCUUAGUUGAUAUGUUCUUGUUGAUUUACUUACUGGACUCCACUCACUCCCACCACCACUAACCAGCUCCCUCCAGCCCUCAAUUCAAGCAGAGUUGCUGAGUGGCUGGCUUGCUGGUCCUGCCUGGUAUCUGGCUGACACAGAGGCUGGGAUGGCUUCCUGGUGAGGAAAUGGGAGUGAGUCAAAGGGGUCAAUCAGGCAGGCACCCUCAGGCUCAGCCCCGUGCCCUGCGGGCAGGAAUGUGUUCUGGGCCUCAGAGGAGAGAUGCGAGGAGAAGAGGAGCUGGGCCCUUGCUCUGGAGACCACGUUUCUAGGAUGCUCAGGACAACAAGCCAACAGCUACCCGGGAACCCAAAAAAGUGCUUCCUGGGAGUUCCCGUUGUGGCUCAGUAGUAAUGAAUUUGACUAGCAUCCAUGAGGACACAGGUUCAAUCUCUGGUCUCGCUCAGUGGGUUAAGGAUCUGGCACUGCUGUGAGCUGUAGUGUAGGUCAUAGAUGCGUCUCAGAUCUGAUGUUACUGUGGCUGUGGCAAAGGGCAGCGACUGCUCCAAAUCAACCCCUAGCCUGGGAACUACCAUAGCAGUCCUAAAAAAAAGAGAGAGAGAGAGAAAUAAAUAGAUAAAUAAAGUGCUUCCUGGAGAAAGAAACUGCAAAUGAGGUUUGGCGUUCUCUCGUGGCACAGCAGGUUAUGGAUCUGGCGUUGCCACUGCAGUUGCUUGGGUCGCUGCUGUGACUCAGGUUUGAUCCUUAGCCUGGGAACUUCCACAUGCCAAUGGUGUAGCCAAAAACAAAAACAAAAGCCCACAAAAAAAGAAAAUAAGGUUUGGAAGGAGAGAAGGGGCUUGACGGCUAACAAUUUAAAAUAAUGUUCAUUUUAACACUUAUGUAUGCCAGGCAAACUGCUAACCAUUUUAUAGACAUCGAUUCAUUUAAUGCUCACAGCCCCCUGGAAAGAAGAUAUGAUUAACUCCUUUCACAAGAGGAGAAACAGAGCUUAGAGAUGAGGUAACAUGGCUAAAGUCCAACUGGAAUUUGAACCUGAAUGUCAAGGACUUCAAAUGUAAACUCACUGCUGCGUGUCAUCAGUGGGUCCAUGUCAUCAGUGAGCCCCGUGGCAUCAGUGGGUCACAUGGUAUCAGUGCGCCCCAUGGCAUCAGUGCGCCCCAUGGCAUCCUGUGGGGUUUCUCUAUCAUAGGAAAAAGCCAACCCUCAAGGGCAGAGCAGAAACUAUACCUAACCUAGGCCCCGUUGAAGUCCAAAGCUCACAGAGGUUCACUGCUGACCUGCCAAGGUCCCUCAGACCUGUGGCAGGUCAAAGCCACACCACCUAACCCUCAGGUCUCCACAGCCCUCAUUCACCCCCAGCAUCCUUUUGUUUUAUUUUAUUUUAUUUUAUUUAUUCUAAGCUGCACCUGAGGCAUAUGGAAGUUCCCUGGGUAGGAGGUGAAUCAGAGCUGUAGCUGCCAGCCUGCCCCACCCACAGCCACAGCAACGUGGGAUCUGAGCCAGUCUGCAACCUGGUCUUUUUUGGUCUUUUUAUGGCUAUACCCAUGGCAUAUGGAAGUUCCCAGGCUAGGGGUCGAAUUGGAGCUACAGUUGCUAGCCUACACUGCAGCCACAGCAACACAGGAUUUGAGCCACUUCUUGUGACCUACACUACAGCUCAUGGCAAUGCCAGAUCCAUAACCCACCGAUUGAGACCAGGGAUCGAAUCCUCGUCUUCAUGGAUCCUAGUCAGGUUCUCUACUGCUGAGCCAUUGCAGGAACUCCUCUCAGUCUUUCUUGUCCAGCCAGUCUGCUCUCCACCUCAAAGGGCCUCCUCUCCUCCUCUUCCAGCCUUAGACCAGGGCAUUAGAAAGACAUCAGGUGGUCUCAGCAUCAUAAGCCCAAAGCUCUCACUGUUCAGUGGAGGACAACAGCCCCAGUGGGCUGAUCGAGGUGGCUCCUGGCUCUAUGAUCAGUGGGAUGUCUGUCCCCUCCACCAGGCUGCCUCCUUUCCAUGAGUGGGAGAACUUACUGUCUUCUGCUCUCCAAGGACCCUCUUGCACAUCCAACCCAGGCCCGGAGAGCUCCAGGACCCUCUCUGAUUGCCCCGUUCUCUGUGCCCCUCUUCAUGGGCUGAACUGUGCUCUCCUCAAAUUUUAUAAGCUGAGGUCCUAACCCCUAGUACCUUGGAAUGUUCCUGUUGUUGAAGACAGAGGUUUUUUUUUUUUUUUGGUCUUUUUAGGGCCAAACCUGUGGCACAUGGAAGUUCCCAGGCUAGCGGGCAAAUUGGAGCUACAGCUGUGGGCCUACACCACAGCCACAGCAACACCAGAUCCGAGUCGCAUCUGCAAUUUACACCAUAGUUCACGGCAAUGCUGGAUCCCUGACCCACUGCGUGAGGCCCAGGAUUGCACGUGCAUCCUCAUGGAUACUAGUAGGAAUCAUUUCUGAUGCGCCACAAGGGGAACUCCUGAUUGGGCCUUUAAAGAGGUAUUAAGUUCAAACGAGGCCAUGUAGGUGGGCUCUAAUCAGCCUGAUGCGUGUCCCUGUGAGAAGAGGAAAUCUGGACACGCAAAAGAUAUGCCAGGGAUGUGUGCCCAUAGAGGAAGGACCAUGCUGCCAACAGCUUGAUCUUGGACUCCCAGCCACCACAACUGGGAGAAGACAACUUUCUGUUGUUUGAGCCAGCUCGUCUGUGGUAUUUUGUUACGGCAACCCUAACACACUAUUACACGCCUUCACUAUGUGUAAGUACAGGUUCCCCAUCAGAUGGCCUUGUUACCUGAGCAUGAAGCAUGUCCCAUCGUGCCCCAGUCUGCAAGGGAGCUGUGCAUUUCUCAUCCUGAUAUGGCUCCCUAAACCUUCUAAAUGAUCUGCCAUUGACCCAAACGCCUCCAGCUGACAUGUAUACUCUGCACUGCAAGUUAACACAGUAUCUGUCUUAGUGAGUCACACCAGAAAAUAAGUCUGCAACAAUGAUUCACAAAUGAAUACAGAAACAUUUUGAAAUUUCACACUCUGUUUCUGUGACCCAGGGGGUGCCCUUUGCAUUGCCGGCUAAGUUAUGCAUGCCCUUUGUCCUUCAAUGUCAAGGCUCCAAGGUUCCUUCUCUAUUACACAUACACACACACACACACACACACACACACACACCAGGAGUUCCCACUGUGGCACAACGGGAUCAGCGCCAUCUUGAGAGCACUGGGACGAAGGUUCGAUCCCCGGCCCAGGAGAGUGGGUGGAGGAUCUGGCGUUGCCGAGGCUGCAGCUUGGGUUGCAACUGAGUCUCAUAUUUGAUCCCUGGCCCUGAGAACUCCACGUGCUGUGGGGUGGCCAAAAAAGAAAAAACAAACAAACAAAACCCACAGCACUUUUGGAUUCUCCCAAUAUUCCUAGGUUUUCAUUGUUGGUUUUCAGGAAGUAUCUCUCCAUACCUUGAGUCCCUGAAAUUGUUUGGAAUUGCAGGCUGACAAUACCUCUGUCAAUGCAUAAAUCUACCUCCUGGAAACAGCAGAUCUCCUUGGAUCUUCAUGAUUCUGUAGGACUCUGUAGAUUCCUAGGAUUUUGGAUCAGCAAAUAAAUGUCUUUUUAAGGGAUAAAGGCAUGUUCCUCCAAAUUAUUGGCACUACUGCUAUGGACUGUGGCCAAAGUCACCCAAACAUCCAGUGAUGGGUAUCAGCCACUCAGUCUCCAUCUAGCAGGGGCAUGGCCUGUCUUCAUCAUCAGAAUGGUUCUCCGAGGCUCUAAGAGCUAGAUUGUGGACGGGUCACAAGAGCUAGGACUCUGGGGUCAGACAGAUCUUGUUUGAAUCCCAGCCCCACUGUCACCCAUUUGGGCCUCUAGACUUCACCCAGAAAAUGGUGUUAGUAGCUCCUAUUUAACAAGACUCCAUGACAAUUAGAUGAAAUGGGUCAACAACACGUAGAAUAUGCAUUUAGCAGAGUGUCUAGUGCAGAGUAAGUCAUUGUUACACAUUAAUUCUCUCCCCCCGAUUUCCCUCCUUCCUCUGCAUCUACCCUCCUGGUGUGAAGGACAGGGUCUUCUGGUCUCCCUCCUGGUACCCUUGACCCUCCACUGAUGGAUGGGGGAUGCCAGAGCUGGGGGUGGAAAUCUGCAGUCCUUGCUGUCAGCAUCUGUAAGUGCAGCCACAACUGUACAUCAGCAACACAGCAUCUGGACCUCGCUCCACUGUGACACUCACUGCCCGGGGCCCCAGUCCCAAGGGGGCUGUUCUAAACAGGUUUUCUUCCAAAAGAAGAAAGAAACUGACGGAUGGUAAGUAAUUGAUCCCUGACGAGAGGUAGGGAGAGCGCCUGAACAGCCACAUCGCCAGGAGGCAGCGGGAGUGGCUCCCACCAGUCCCACUUCAAUUCUCAGAUUCCAAGAUGUGAGGACACCAAUCAAAAGAGGUGGAAGAAAAGGAUGUAACAAAAACAGGGGCAAAAAUAAAUACAAACACACACACACAGUUCCAUAUAAAUGGUUAGUAGGUUGAAAACACAGACUAGACAAUCUAAUGACGGCUUUCCCUAGCAUGCCUCAAAUUUCUUCAAUGAAACACUAACACUCACUUACAUCUAGUGGGAUGAGAAACAAAUGGGGGAUUUGCAGUAAUAACUGGAUAGCCCCACAUUAUCUCAAAUAUGCCUACUCUAGCCACCCAACUUGUGGAUUAUCCAUAAAGGCCUCCUGUCCUUGAACCCCUACUGACUCCAUAAUGGACAACAGGACUAACAUAAAAUUAGCAAGAGAUAAAAAUCCCUUCCAUUUGAUGAACAAUUUUAUAAGGUCACACAUCAUUUCAUUUUACUUUUUGAACCACAAAAACGCAGCUCUAGGAAGCUGAAGCUCAGAGAGGUGACACCCCAAGGUCUUACACCCAGUAAGAGGAGACCAUGAACUUGCACCCACACCUCCUGACUCCCAGUACAUACACUCUUUUCACUAAAUCACAAAGGAGGAGCAUAACAUCUCAUGCCUGAGACUUACACACAUGUAACACGCACACGCCACAAAGUAAAACACCCAGGAAACUAGAUAACAGAGAUUUGACGAUGGCUCCCUUCUCGUUUAGGUGUUGCUCCGGAUCCCCUGAGAGCCUGGGUUUUCAGGGACAUGAAGAAGGUCCAGCACUUGGCUAUGAAACAGAAUGGAAACUGGGAGAGGAGAAUCUAUGGGAAUCUGAGGUCCUAGAAUCAGAGAGGAGUAGGAUGAAGAAAAACUUCAUGUUCUGGCUCUGGAGUGUUAGCUCCAGGUGCCCAGUGACCAUUUGCCACAGGCCAAACAAGAGAAAAUGGACUUGUUCUGCAACAGUAGGCUUUGGGACAGUCAUCAACUUUCCGAUGGGGGGCGGGGGUGGGAACCAGCAAUAAAAUGAGCUGCAAAGCGAGGGACUGUGGAGUAACGAGACCGAGAAGCUCACCGUCUGGCUUGGCACUGAGAGGUGGCCUGUGAGGGGGAAGGCAGCCCCUCAGGGAAAGCCAUGACGUUUCCUAUAAAGGGGCGCCCAGGGGUAGUGAUGGGGGUACUCAGAAGGGAGUAGGACCCCCACCCCCAUUCUUGGGUCAGACAAUCUGUAAAGAGAUUGGGAACAACUAGGGAAAGGGUGCAUGGUGGGGGGUGGGGGUGGGGUCCUUACUU